rnacentral:lncRNA from 1 species
GUCAAGGAGCCCACUGUGAUUGAUGCUGGGGGCUGCAGUAUGGCCAGCAGCUGCCCCAUGCAGAGGCGGUGUGAUUCCCCAGCUCUCAGUUUUCUGAAGGUUCACACUGAGUUCCUAGCACCAGACUCCCUCUGCUUUACACACACACUAGCCUAGACAUUAGGAAAAAAAUUACCUAAAUCAGCGGGGCACAGGGGCAUGUGCCUAGAAUCCCAGCUACUCAGGAGCCUGAAGAGGGAAGAUCACAAGUUGAGGCCAGCCUGGGCAACCUAGUGAGACCUGUCUCAAAGUUGAAAGGGCUGGAAUGCAGCUCAGUUGUGGAGCACCCCUGUGUUCAAUCCCUAGUACCACCAAAGAACAAUAAUUCACCUAAAUUCCAAAAACAAGUGAAGGCCUGACAUAGGAGUUUAGCUUAUGGCCCAGUUAAUCUAUAAUGGCAGGUCCUGGAGCCCAGCCUGUCACUUUCCCAUGUCCAUUUUUUGGUCUACAAGACAGCACCUCACAGACUCCUGGAAUAUUCUGAGGCCAGGCUCUCUGGGGCUUCACCCACUGCUCUUGGCCUGGAGUGCAGGGCAGCCAUGGCCCACCUGGACAGCUAGCUCCUAGUGAUGCAGGGGACAUUGGCUGGUACUACCCCCACGGGACAGAGGAUUUCAGGUGAAGAGCCUCCCAUGCUGGGACCUCCUUCUGAGUUGUUCCUAGGGGCUGUCCUGCCCAGGCUGGGUCACCGCAGUCCCAAGAGGAAGCCCAUAUUCUCAGUGCAGAUCUGAUGAAGUGGAAGUAUACAAAAGCAGGUGUCAGAGUUGGUGUAGGACACUUGUGUGCUCACCCUUCUGUAGCAUGUGGUCCUCAGUUGGAAGAGUUGCCCACGUUGCUGGGAUGUUUGAAGGCACUAGGUUGUCGAGCAGUGUUUGCCUCCUAGCCCACGUCUCAGUUCCUAAAGGUGAGAGGUUUUCAGAGUUCAGUAUCAUGGUGUCUGCAGCUUAUAUUCAGAUGUUGAACUAAAACCAGUGCCAACAACAAGUGUGUUCAUAUUGAGCUGCAGAGCAGAUUGGCCAGUGUUGACUCUGAGUGACGAGGUCGGAGGUUGGCACAUGUCUUCUGUGAAAGGCCAGAGAGCAACCAUUCCUGGCUCUGCAGCACACAGUUAUCAGGUGGUACAGCCCAGUGUAGAGCGAACGAGCCAGACUGGGUGCGGGCCAGAGCCCGUGGACCAGGCAGUAGCUGUCACUUUCCCAUUGUGGUACAGGGUUAGGGCACUGAACCCUCAAAGCUGGCAGACUUUUCCUUUGCAAACUUUCUAUAGGUCUUAAAGUCCUUCAGAACUAGAUGUUGGCCAGGAAGUUGGGAGACUUGGGUAGAGGACAUGCAUGGGAGCCAGAGAGUGGCCAAGAACAUCUCAGUCUGUGUCCUCUGAUGCUUGGUGUGCCAGGAGGAGGGUGACCUAGACAUCACAGCAGUCUCGGUAUUCACGUGCCCCCAUUGGUUUAUUUAUUUAUUUUUUUCCUCCUUUUGGUACUGGGGAUUGAACCCUGGGCUGCUCUACCACUGAGCUACAUCCCUAGCCCUUUUUAUUUUAUUUUGAGAUAGGAUCUCGCUAAGUUGCCCAGGCUGGACUUGAACUUGUGAUCCUCCUGCCUCGGCCUCCCAGGUAAUAGUGGGAUUUUACACAUGUGCCACCAUGCCCAGCUGCUUUGUGUUUUGUUUGCAAUAAUUUCUCCCUGCUGUUAUUGGGAAACAUCACUUUUAAUGAGUGCCUAAUGAUCUGUUGACUGAGAAAAUCAAAGCUGACUUAAUCAUCUCCUAGCCUGGUCACACAGAUUUGGGCUUAAAUUGUUA